rnacentral:rRNA from 1 species
AAUAGAUACCCGGGUAGUCCACGCCGUAAACGAUGAGUGCUAAGUGUUGGGGGGUUUCCGCCCCUCAGUGCUGCAGCUAACGCAUUAAGCACUCCGCCUGGGGAGUACGGCCGCAAGGCUGAAACUCAAAAGAAUUGACGGGGGCCCGCACAAGCGGUGGAGCAUGUGGUUUAAUUCGAAGCAACGCGAAGAACCUUACCAGGUCUUGACAUCCCGCUGCCCGGUAUAGAGAUAUAUCUUUCCCUUCGGGGACAGCGGUGACAGGUGGUGCAUGGUUGUCGUCAGCUCGUGUCGUGAGAUGUUGGGUUAAGUCCCGCAACGAGCGCAACCCUUGAUCUUAGUUGCCAGCAUUUAGUUGGGCACUCUAAGGUGACUGCCGGUGACAAACCGGAGGAAGGUGGGGAUGACGUCAAAUCAUCAUGCCCCUUAUGACCUGGGCUACACACGUGCUACAAUGGAUGGUACAAAGAGCUGCAAGACCGCGAGGUUUAGCCAAUCCCAUAAAAACCAUUCUCAGUUCGGAUUGCAGG